CGAGAAUUUUUAUAGAAAAAUAUGACGUAGCUUAUCGUCGACUGAUUUCAAUCUACGAAUAGAUUUUUUCUAGAGAUUUUUAUAGAUUUAUAGAGAAACAACUAUGCGUUAAUAUAUCAUUUCAUAGCUGAAUCAACUCUUAAUUACACCGAAGAGAAUGCAUAGACAUCAAAGUGUUUGUAAUUCACGAAACAGUUAGGAGUUCCUCGAAGUUUCCGUUGAAAACCAGCUGGAUCAAUGGAACGUUAUCGGGUCUCGCCACGGUUCUGAAUCAGGAAAUCUCACGAACUAACGCUCUGAUGCACCUUGCCGUCAGAAGCGGGUCAGACUUCUCGGACUCGUCGUUGAAGGUCUGCGAGCCACGAGACAUGGUGUUCCUACGGGGUGUCGUGGUGCCAUCCUGCGAGGGGCGAACAAACUCGAUUCUGCCACCCUCGACGACGAUGUUCGGGGCUGGUGGAAAAUUCUCUGCGUUACCGAGCGGGUCGCAGUAGCCUAGGAGCCCGGCUUUCUCCCCGUACAGGGGGUGAAUUUGUCUGC
rnacentral:misc_RNA from 1 species